rnacentral:ncRNA from 2 species
UACCUUUGUUUCGUAUCAGGUUCAUUCAAACAACGCAAGUUGUAAUAUGAUUAAAAGGGAACCCGGUGAAAAUCCGGGACUAUCCUCGUAGCUGUAAGUUUCAUGAAGGUUUGUACUCUUUUGCCACUGACAAAUUUCGUCGGGAAGGCGUACAUACCGGAACAAGUCAGAAGACCUGCCGAUACAUGUUUUUUGU